CAACAUUUUUCAUUCCAUUGUAAUAGUCUCUCUUUAAUAGAACUAACUAUUACACCAUUAAACUAGUUGAUAAGUCCUAACUCGACAGAUGCACACACACAUCAUUAUGUUCGUAAACAAAAAUGAACAUCUCAGAUAAUGCGAAGUUGCUUCUCAAUUCAAGAAAAAAACCAAUUGCGCCCCCGGCCCAACCUCACCCCAGAGGAAAAAGAAACGCGAUAAACAGAAAGAACUAUUAUACAUUGAGAGCGCGAUGUAAUUGGAUUACAUUCCCUACAAAAUCAUCUCUCCAUAUCUUUUGGUGGUGCAUCCCAAUCCCAAAUUCAGCUAUGGCUCCGGGUUUGGCAAUGUCUGAGGUGUGGGCUUUUGGAGAGAAUACGAGGGCAAUACUUUCGUAUCCCUGUUUCAUAUCUUAACUAUCAUUGCAAUCCCUGUUUCAUAUCUUAACUAUCAUUGCACCACGAACCAAACCAAAGAACAAGGAGCUCGAGCGUGCAAAAAUCCAUAACGCAGCAGCAGCAGCAGACAAGCUUAUGUUGUGAUGCCAAGAAGUAACAGAGUCGACCUGCCACAUGUAUAUUCAUUUAAGUUCAUGAGAACAACACAUCUGGCUAUGAUUGGGUGAUGGGCCCCAACUAUUUGCCAACAGUUGAGUAUUUUAAAUUUUCAGCAAAAAGUAUAAUCAGCUAGGCUGAUACAAUGUCGUAAUAAACUCGUUUAAGCAAAAAAAAUAAAAAUAUGAGAUUUCCUUGUGUAAUUCGACAGAAAUAGUGGUUUAGAAACUUGGACAUGAAUUCAGUAAACUGCUAAAGCAUGCAAAUGCAACUCGAUAUAUUAUAUUCCAAACCACCGACCGACCACAGGAGUGCACAUGAUCUAAAAAUCUGAGUCCAGAAUAAGUUCUGCUAUAGAUUUCUGUGACUACGUUAAGCCCUUGUUUGAAAGUGAUUAUUUUAAAAUAAAUUUCCCCUCGUGCUCGUUUAGAGCCACACAUUCCCCAAAAAAUAAUUUUCCAAAUAUCCACAUAAAUUUACUAACCACAUAUUCUCAAAAAAUAAAAAAAAUUCACUUUAUUAAUCAUUUUCACACAAGCAAUAAGUUAUACUCCUGAAGUCUGUAAAAUAAGCAGAGAC
rnacentral:lncRNA from 1 species